AUUGAACGCUGGCGGCAGGCCUAACACAUGCAAGUCGAGCGAGCGGCGGACGGGUGCGUAAUGUAUGGGGACUGCCCGAUAUAGGGGGAUAACUACUGGAAACGGUGGCUAAUACCGCAUACUAUCGGAUAACCCAUAUGGGAUUCGCUAGUAGGUGUGGUAAAGGCUCACCUAGGCGACUAUCUAUAGCUGGUCUGAGAGGAUGAUAAGCAACACUGGGACUGAGACACGGCCCAGACUCCUACGGAGGCAGCAGUGGGGAAUAUGGCACAAUGGGCGCAAGCCUGAUGCAGCCAUGACGCGUGUAGGAAGAAGGCCUUAGGGUGGUAAAGGACUUUAAGCGGGGAGGCGUUACCCGCAGAAGAAGCACCGGCUAACUCCGUGCCAGCAGCCGCGGUAAUAC
rnacentral:rRNA from 1 species